UUAAUUGAAACCAAAUAAGAGGUAUACCACUGUUAAUGGUAUCAUUGAGAAAAUCUCCAAUUAAA
rnacentral:tRNA from 1 species